UACAGAGGUCUCAAGCGUUGUUCGGAUUCAUUGGCGUAAAGGGUGCGUAGGCGGCGCGGUAAGUCGGGGGUGAAAUCUCGGGGCUUAACUCCGAAACUGCAUUCGAUACUGCCGUGCUUGAGGACUGGAGAGGAGACUGGAAUUUACGGUGUAGCGGUGAAAUGCGUAGAUAUCGUAAGGAAGACCAGUGGCGAAGGCGGGUCUCUGGACAGUUCCUGACGCUGAGGCACGAAGGCCAGGGGAGCAAACGGG
rnacentral:rRNA from 1 species